GUCAGACAACACUAGCCACUUGUCGCAGCCACAGGUAGCAUCCACCACCAUCAACAUGUACAAGCUGCUCCUUGUCGUGCUGGCUGUGCUCGCCGCCGCCUCCGCCCAGUACGUCAGCCCCUACUACGGCUACGGUGGAGCGUACCGCAGCGGCUACUACGGCGGGUACGCCGCUCCCUUGGCCUACGGCAGGUCCCUGGGAUACGGCUACGGCGGAUACCUGUACGGCUGAACGGUGGUGUGUCUGGUCUGUUGACUGAGCGAGAUAUUCCUUGUCUACAUAUUGUAUCAGUAUGUGACUAAUGAAAUAAACCUCUUGGUCAGCUUAAAAUUAGUGAUUUAUUUUUUGUUUUGUACAAAUGUAUUAUUUGGAUUCAAAAUAUUCUACUGUGAACAAAAUAAUGCAAGAAUACAUAUUUUAAAAACAUAUAAAAA